GUGGAUUAGAUACCCUGGUAGUCCACGCCGUAAACGAUGAUAACUAGCUGUCUGGGCACAUGGUGCUUAGGUGGCGCAGCUAACGCAUUAAGUUAUCCGCCUGGGGAGUACGGUCGCAAGAUUAAAACUCAAAGGAAUUGACGGGGGCCUGCACAAGCGGUGGAGCAUGUGGUUUAAUUCGAAGCAACGCGCAGAACCUUACCAGCGUUUGACAUCCUCAUCGCGAUUUCCAGAGAUGGAUUUCUUCAGUUCGGCUGGAUGAGUGACAGGUGCUGCAUGGUUGUCGACAGCU
rnacentral:rRNA from 1 species